GAUGAACUCUGGCGGCGUGCCUAAUACAUGCAAGUAGAACGCUGAAGGAGGAGCUUGCUCUUCUGGAUGAGUUGCGAACGGGUGAGUAACGCGUAGGUAACCUGCCUGGUAGCGGGGGAUAACUAUUGGAAACGAUAGCUAAUACCGCAUGACAACAGUUAUUGCAUGAUAACUGUUUAAAAGGGGCAACUGCUCCACUACCAGAUGGACCUGCGUUGUAUUAGCUAGUUGGUGAGGUAACGGCUCACCAAGGCGACGAUACAUAGCCGACCUGAGAGGGUGAUCGGCCACACUGGGACUGAGACACGGCCCAGACUCCUACGGGAGGCAGCAGUAGGGAAUCUUCGGCAAUGGACGGAAGUCUGACCGAGCAACGCCGCGUGAGUGAAGAAGGUUUUCGGAUCGUAAAGCUCUGUUGUAAGAGAAGAACGAGUGUGAGAGUGGAAAGUUCACACUGUGACGGUAUCUUACCAGAAAGAGACGGCUAACUACGUG
rnacentral:rRNA from 1 species